rnacentral:rRNA from 3 species
UUGGAGGGCAAGUCUGGUGCCAGCAGCCGCGGUAAUUCCAGCUCCAAUAGCGUAUAUUAAAGUUGUUGCAGUUAAAAAGCUCGUAGUUGAAUUUCGGGAUCGACGGGUCGGUCGCGCCUCUGGUGUGUACUGGCCCUGUCGGUUUCUCCCUUCUGACGAACCACGAUGUCAUUAAUUUGGUGUCGUGGGAAAUCAGGACUGUUACUUUGAAAAAAUUAGAGUGUUUAAAGCAGGCAUUCGCUUGAAUACAUUAGCAUGGAAUAAUGAAAUAGGACGUUUGAUCUUAUUUUGUUGGUUUCUAAGAUCGACGUAAUGAUUAAUAGGGAUAGUUGGGGGCAUUAGUAUUCAAUUGUCAGAGGUGAAAUUCUUGGAUUUAUUGAAGACUAACUACUGCGAAAGCAUUUGCCAAGGAUGUUUUCAUUAAUCAAGAACGAAAGUUAGGGGAUCGAAGACGAUCAGAUACCGUCGUAGUCUUAACCAUAAACUAUGCCGACUAGGGAUCGGAUGAUGUUAAUUUUUUAAUGACUCAUUCGGCGCCUUACGGGAAAC